AGCAGUUCUGUGGGAAAUGGAUAGAAUUCAGAGCUUACGGUAGAUACAGCUGAACAUUUUGCUCCGUCGCCAUGGAUCACAGAUCAGUGAUUUCUGUAAGGAGUGUGAGUAUGCAGUGCAGGUGUUGCACUGCUGUGUAUAGCUCAAAAGUGGCUGCAGUGGACCACAGCAUUGUGAGAACACAAAGAGACUCCUAUGGAGGUCCAACCACUGAUCAGGCUGCAGCAGGACGUUUCUGAAUGCCUCAUCUCUCCUGGUCUUGGUCUUAACUUGGGCUCGACUACAACAAAGUCUCUGUUUUGACUUGGACUUUAUGUGUCCGGGUCUUGGUCUUGAUUUGGCUGCAGCAAAGUUCCAAAGACACUAUUGCAUUUGUUUUUGUUGUGCUGUUCUGAAAAUUUGCUGUACUUUGUAUAUCAGACAUAAUGAAGCAAAUUAAUUUCUAAAUUGGCAGUUGGUGUUUUACAGCUGUAAUAACCACAAAUAACCAGCAUAUUUAUAACUGUUUGGACUCACCGUGCUGCAACAAUUAAAUCAUCCUGCGCUUCUUUACCUCUUUCCUCUACACUAAUUCUGUUGGCUGUCUCUCUGAAGGAAUUCCACUUGUCCUGGAUUGCAAUUCUGUAGAAGAAGUUAAUAGGUGUCAUUAAACAGGUGUUGAUUUUA